rnacentral:tRNA from 1 species
GGUGCCAUAGCUCAGUUGGUAGAGCAAAGGACUAAAAAUCCUUGUGUCCCCGGUUCGAUUCCUGGUGGCACCA